rnacentral:tRNA from 1 species
CCUCCUUUCAAGGAAGCUUUCCGAGCUUCGGACCGGGUAACCGGUUCGGAUUGGAAAGCUCCGAUAAAAAGUCCUCCCUCUAGGAUCAGGGGAGGCACAGCCAAGGAACCACAUUCCCGUGACCUCGGUCAUGGAAGCGCCGUCAACAUAUCCCGUCCAGCAACAAUCGUCGGACCCUUUUGGGCUAGUAGCUCAGUUGGUUAGAGCACACGCUUGAUAAGCGUGGGGUCGGAGGUUCAAGUCCUCCCUGGCCCACCAUCGGGAUCACUAUCGGGGGCGUAGCUCAGCUGGGAGAGCACCUGCUUUGCAAGCAGGGGGUCGUCGGUUCGAUCCCGUCCGCCUCCACCAGGUGGCCCAUUCCUGUGUUUGGGUUGCCUGAUGCCGGAAGGCUGUGGGUCUGGAACGAAGACGGUUGUUGGUUGGGAAAAGAGAUCGGACGGAUGUCCGGCAGCCGCGAUGCGGCGCCGGGUGUCUUAGUCUGGUGAGUUUGUUCUUUGUCAGUGUGAAUAGGUUGGUGCGUUCGUGUGCGUGCCGUGUCGCGGGUUGGUCUGACCCAUGCGAUGGUCCGGGGAACCGGGGUAUUGCGUGCUGUGCGAUGUGGCGAAAGCGUACAUGAACGACAAAGUAGAGAAGAGUGGUCGUGAGAUGAACUGCACUUUCUUAUGUGCGGGACUGUCUGCCCCCUGGGUGGAUGGCUCCUGUGCAUGUGUGGUGAAUGAGCGCGAUAAGGGCAUUCGGUG